UCCCCUACCAACCAAGUCCCA
rnacentral:misc_RNA from 1 species